rnacentral:rRNA from 1 species
GACGGACGCUGGCGGCGUGCCUAAUACAUGCAAGUUGAGCGCUGAAGGUUGGUACUUGUACCAACUGGAUGAGCAGCGAACGGGUGAGUAACGCGUGGGGAAUCUGCCUUUGAGCGGGGGACAACAUUUGGAAACGAAUGCUAAUACCGCAUAAAAACUUUAAACACAAGUUUUAAGUUUGAAAGAUGCAAUUGCAUCACUCAAAGAUGAUCCCGCGUUGUAUUAGCUAGUUGGUGAGGUAAAGGCUCACCAAGGCGAUGAUACAUAGCCGACCUGAGAGGGUGGUCGGCCACAUUGGGACUGAGACACGGCCCAAGCUCCUACGGGAGGCAGCAGUAGGGAAUCUUCGGCAAUGGACGAAAGUCUGACCGAGCAACGCCGCGUGAGUGAAGGAGGUUUUCGGAUCGUAAAACUCUGUUGGUAGAGAAGAACGUUGGUGAGGGUGGAAAGCUCAUCAAGUGACGGUAACUACACAGAAAGGGACGGCUAACUACGUG